rnacentral:rRNA from 1 species
CCUACGGGUGGCAGCAGUGGGGAAUAUUGGACAAUGGGGGCAACCCUGAUCCAGCCAUGCCGCGUGUGUGAAGAAGGCCCUCGGGUUGUAAAGCACUUUCAGUGAGGAAGAACGCCUGGUGGUUAAUACCCAUCAGGAAAGACAUCACUCACAGAAGAAGCACCGGCUAACUCCGUGCCAGCAGCCGCGGUAAUACGGAGGGUGCGAGCGUUAAUCGGAAUUACUGGGCGGAAAGCGCGCGUAGGUGGCUUGAUAAGCCGGUUGUGAAAGCCCCGGGCUCAACCUGGGAACGGCAUCCGGAACUGUCAAGCUAGAGUGCAGGAGAGGAAGGUAGAAUUCCCGGUGUAGCGGUGAAAUGCGUAGAGAUCGGGAGGAAUACCAGUGGCGAAGGCGGCCUUCUGGACUGACACUGACACUGAGGUGCGAAAGCGUGGGUAGCAAACAGGAUUAGAUACCCUGGUAGUC